UUGAACGCUGGCGGCAUGCCUUACACCUGCAAGUCGAACGGCAGCACGGGUGCUUGCACCUGGUGGCGAGUGGCGAACGGGUGAGUAAUACAUCGGAACAUGUCCUGUAGUGGGGGAUAGCCCGGCGAAAGUCGGAUUAAUACCGCAUACGAUCUACGGAUGAAAGCGGGGGACCUUCGGGCCUCGCGCUAUAGGGUUGGCCGAUGGCUGAUUAGCUAGUUGGUGGGGUAAAGGCCUACCAAGGCGACGAUCAGUAGCUGGUCUGAGAGGACGACCAGCCACACUGGGACUGAGACACGGCCCAGACUCCUACGGGAGGCAGCAGUGGGGAAUUUUGGACAAUGGGCGAAAGCCUGAUCCAGCAAUGCCGCGUGUGUGAAGAAGGCCUUCGGGUUGUAAAGCACUUUUGUCCGGAAAGAAAUCCUUGGCCCUAAUACGGUCGGGGGAGGACGGUACCGGAAGAAUAAGCACCGGCUAACUACGU
rnacentral:rRNA from 1 species